rnacentral:rRNA from 1 species
CCUGGCGGCGUGCUUACACCUGCAGUCGAACGAACUUCGGGUUAGUGGCGGACGGGUGAGUAACGCGUGAGAAUCUGCCUCAGGAGGGGGACAACAGUUGGAAACGACUGCUAAUACCCCAUAUGCCGCGAGGUGAAAUGAAUUUCGCCUGAGGAUGAGCUCGCGUCUGAUUAGCUAGUUGGUGUAGGUAAUGGCUCACCAAGGCAUCGAUCAGUAGCUGGUCUGAGAGGAUGAUCAGCCACACUGGGACUGAGACACGGCCCAGACUCCUACGGGAGGCAGCAGUGGGGAAUUUUCCGCAAUGGGCGAAAGCCUGACGGAGCAACGCCGCGUGAGGGAUGAAGGCCUCUGGGCUGUAAACCUCUUUUAUCAAGGAAGAAGAUCUGACGGUACUUGAUGAAUAAGCCACGGCUAAUUCCGUGCCAGCAGCCGCGGUAAUACAGGGAGUGGCAAAGCGUUAUCCGGAAUUAUUGGGCGUAAAGCGUCCGCAGGCGGCCCUUCAAGUCUGCUGUUAAAAAGUGGAGCUUAACUCCAUCAUGGCAGUGGAAACUAGUUGGGCUUGAGUGUGGUAGGGGCAGAGGGAAUUCCCGGUGUACG